CUGAUUUUGCUUCUCCUUCCUUCUUCCUUCUCAUCAUCUUCUUUAAUCCUUUAUUUUUUUCAUAUCCUUAAUCUUCUGAUUUUGCUAUGUUUAAGACUUUUGUUUGAUAAAAAAAAAUAACAUUUUCAAAAUUAUAUCCAUUUAUUCACCACCCUCCUCAUCAUCCAUCCUCCUUCACCCCUCAAGAUCUCUUCACUCAGUUCAAACAAAACUAAUACUUUUUCUAUAUAUUUCCUUCUAACUCAUAUAGUAUUUCUCUAUUUUUAUAGAUCUUGUGAUUUUUUUUGUUGUUGUUAAAAUCAUGUAAUUUGUGCUUGUGCUUGUGCUUGGAGACUUAUUUAACUAGAGCUUUGUUGAAGAUAUGAUGCUUUUGUUGAAAGACUACUUUUAUUUCAUCGUCAAAUAGGAUAUUGUUGUGAAUUCAUAUUUCAACAGAUAUGUUUUUCUUUUGCUCGAUCAUCAAUAAUAUUUCUUCCAUUUCAACGACUGUGAUUUCUUUGAUUAAUGAGGUGGGUGAAGGCUAUUGGUCUCACCAGACCACUCUUGUUUGGAGCAAAUCCACCGGUGCUCCUCUUCACCAUGCUAUUGUUUGGAUGGAUGUUCGUACCGCCUCUAUUUGCAGGAAACUUGAAAAUGAGUUAUCUGGCUGGCGGUAGAACUCACUUUGUCGAGAGUUAUAUCAAAGCAUGACCUUCUAUCUACUGAAGGAAUUGUUGCUAUUGUUGGAGCUGUGGUGUGGUGGCUUUAGAGACAGUCUUGGUCUCAUUUCAAAUGCCGCUGAGAUAGAGACCUCUGACAUUAGAGAUUGAAUCCAACGCCGACGUUUAUGGAAUUACGAGUUCUACUACUAAGGGUCACAAUAUUGCUCGUGUUGUGCUUAGAGCAUUUAUUUUCAAGUGAAAGAUGUUGUAGAAUUAAUGCACAAAAUUUAUGUCAAAACUUUUAGCAAUGUACAUGAAGUAGUUUCGUAGGGGCUUAACCCAAAAAUCAUAUUGUUACUUGUAUGAGUAAAUAUAUACUAUUAUGUUUAAGUCAUUAGAUUUGAUCGAGUGGUGAGAUAUUUAGGUAGUAUGCAUAUGUUUUAGGUUUGAUAUUUAGCUACUCCAAAUAAAUUUAUUUAUCAAAAGUUACGAGAAACAAAAAUAUUUAAAAUUUUAAGUCAUUUUUUUUUAAUCAA